CACUUGGUCCAGUAUGACGCAGUUAGUGAGGUGAAACCGAGACGCGUCAAUUGCUGGUUGAAAACUAUUUCCAAACUAUUUCCAAAUAAGGGAGGACUCAUGAAAUGUAAUAUGGGGUAC
rnacentral:snRNA from 1 species